GGAGAGGUGGCAGAGUGGUUUAUUGCACCGGUCUUGAAAACCGGAGCGCCCUUACGGGCGCCGUGGGUUCGAAUCCCUCCCUCUCCGCCA
rnacentral:tRNA from 1 species